GACAAAUCCCCAGAGACAUUAUUACUGCCUUUCAAAGACAACUUGUUUCAACUUAAUUUAAAUCUGUUCCUAACUGACUUGUUCUAAGCCCAAAUAGUCCCUGCUCAAGUGAAAUACGUAAAAUCACCUAUUUCCUACUUGGUUUCAGAUCUGACCUUCAGUUAAAGCAGUGUAACUUGGUAUGAAGACAUGGCCUUAAACUUCCUACGCCUUGCACUAGUCCAAGAGGAGUCCAGGAGACCACAUUAUUCACCAGCGCAGAUGGAGAAGGGUGAGUUUCUCAUUUCUUACCUUUGCUAAGGCUUCAGGAUAUCUUGCAGUCCUUUUUAUUCACCCAGUUAGGACAUCUACACUGAGAAAUAGUAUGUGUGCUACUGUAACCGGUUUGUAUUCAAGGUUAAUUUUCUACAGACAUAAUACUCAUUUACACUAAGAAUCAUAUUUUUACAAUGUGAAG
rnacentral:lncRNA from 1 species